GAAGCUAUAAUCACUCUGUUUCAGCGGGAUUUCGGGAGAAGCUACAAGGAUCAGCACUGCACGAAUAGAAGGAUCCUUUACAUGCCCUAUCAACUUUCGAUGGACUUUCUGCACCUACCUUGGUGACCAUGGGUAAUGGGGAAUCAGGGUUCGAUUACAGAGAGGGAGCCUGAGAAACGGCUACCACAUCCAAGGAAGGCGGCAGGCGCGCAAAUUACCCACUCCCGACAAGGUGAGGUAGUGAC